UACAGAGGUCCCAAGCGUUGUUCGGAUUCAUUGGGCGUAAAGGGAGCGUAGGUGGUCGGGUAAGUCAGAUGUCAAAUUUCGAUGCUCAACGUCGAAUCGCAUUUGAUACUGCCUGGCUAGAGGAAUUGAGAGGAGGCCGGAAUUCACGGUGUAGCAGUGAAAUGCGUAGAUAUCGUGAGGAAGACCAACGGCGAAAGCAGGCCUCUGGAAAUUUCCUGACACUGAGGCUCGAAGGCCAGGGGAGCAAACGGG
rnacentral:rRNA from 1 species